CUCAGGAGAGGGGCACUGCUUACUGGGGCUGCUGUCUCUGCAGCUGAGGUGCAGUGACAAUGAAGCUGGCUCUGCAAAUGCUGAAAAAGCUGCCAGCUGGGUUCAGCUGCUGCUGUGGGAAGGAACUGCUGCUGCCAAAGUGUGGGGAGCAGAUAGGGAAAAGCAAGUCUCUUCCUCCUUUUCCAGCCUGACAGUCUCAAGCUCCCUCUCUCACUCCCGCUCCCCCUACUGGCAGAGAUGUGGUUUGCAGAGUCCCAAGCCCUGGCAUCAUCAGCCAGAAUACAGGAGGACUGGUUUGGAGCUGGGGACAAUAACUUAUGGUCUGACACAAGGUCACAGAAAAAUAAGGAUCCUCAGAACAUGUGAAGGUGGCUUUUUUUUUAACCAUCCUUUUGUAACAGAGCAAGUUAUUGACACAUUAAUUUGUGUCUCAUCUGAUUUUUAUGCUGUGGACUCGUAAGAAAGAUAAUUGCUAAGACAACCUUCUCCUUGCUUCUAUUAUGUCUACCCAGGCUCUGCAUUCUGAGUUCCAGUCUCUAGGCCCUAAAGAGAGGUAUCCUUAUAAAAGACAGAAAAGGAGAAGACAUACAGAGAGACCCACAGAGCAGAAGGCCAUAUGAAAUUGGAGGCAGAGAUUGGAGUGAUGCAUCUUUAAGCCAAGGAAUGCCAAGGAUUACCUGCAACCACCAGAAACUAGGAGAGAGGAACCAACCCAGGCAACACGUUGAUUUCAGACUUCUGGCCUCCAGAACUGUGAGAGAAUAAAUUCCUGUUAUUCUAAGCCACCAAGUUUGUGAUAAUUUGUUAUGGCAGCCCUAGGAAACUAAUGCAGCCUGUGUCAGUGAGGUGCUUGGCUU
rnacentral:lncRNA from 1 species